rnacentral:rRNA from 1 species
UCGCCUGUUUAUCAAAAACAUGUCUUCUUGAAUAAAAUUUGAAGUCUGACCUGCCCUCUGAAUUUUAUAUUUAAAGGGCCGCGGUAUUUUGACCGUGCAAAGGUAGCAUAAUCAUUAGUCUUUUAAUUGAAGGCUAGAAUGAAUGGUUGGACGAGGUAUUGACUGUCUCGGUGUGAUUGAUAUUAGAAUUUAACUUUUAAGUUAAAAGGCUUAAAUGUUUUUAGAGGACGAGAAGACCCUAUAGAGCUUUAUAUUUAUUUAUUAUUAAUUAUUUAGGUUAAAUUUUUUUAAUAUUAGGAAAAGUAUUUUGUUGGGGUGACAGGAAGAUAAAAAAAACUCUUUUUAGUUUAUUUACAUUGAUAUAUGAAUUGUUGAUCCAUUAUUAUUGAUUAUAAGACUAAGUUACCUUAGGGAUAACAGCGUAAUCUUUUUCGAGAGUUCUUAUCGACAAAAAGGGUUGCGACCUCGAUGUUGGAUUAAGGGUAAUUUUGGGUGUAGAUGUUCAAAGUUUAGGUCUGUUCGACCUUUAGAUCCUUACAUGAUCUGAGUUCAAACCGGAG